GAAAGCUGGUAAACAAAAUUAAAUAUGAGGAGCCGAAUGUCAAGUCCAAAAGACUGUAAUGGCAGCUGGACAGAGAGCGUGGGGGAGAGAGACUUGAACAGCAAGAAAUACACAAGGACAGUGAGAGGAGUUGCUGGAGCAGGUGUAUGGAUCCUCUUUACCAUGACAGAAGAGGGUUCUGUCUGCUUCUGAAGGUAGCUAACCUGAUAUUCGUGAACCUUGUUACAGGCCCCAACUCGGAGAUUAAAACUUGCUUCUUCCUGACUCACCAAUGGAUGAGGCCAAUAAUAGCAGCCACUCCCCUGGCCUGCCGGCUCAAGAGUAUAAAUGGGGCCGCUGGGAAGCUCUAACGCUGCAGGACGUCCAUGGGCAGGAAAGAACGUGAGAGGAACAAACCGAGUGACUUGGACUCAUGUCUACGUGGUGCAGAGAAAUCUGGAUCAUUCAUUCAUUCAUUCCAUGAAGACUCAUCAGCACCUUCGAGAAGCCCUGCACUCUGCUGGGUUUUGGGAAUAAGAAAUGCAACGACCACAGAAAGAAGGAGGAAGCUCUCGCGCAGAGAUGGACACCGGAAUCGGCUCUUCUGCUUAGUGGGAGCAGAAUUCCGAGAUUUCUGGCUAAGUGUAUCAGUUACGACCAUGGCGACGGUCCUAAUGAGAGUAAUAGUAAAUGUAUUAAGCGGUGCGUAUUGAAAGGGCUAGUGACUUCGCAAUGUGCGGAAAAUCAACUCAGCGCCUUGACUGGAACACGCACCCUCAGACAAAGCCCCCGAAGGACACUGCGCUGAAGUGUAGGUUUCUUUCAGUCCGACGGAAGAGGCCCUUGAGAGGCAGAACGCCCGGUUGCUAACUAGUAACUUUAAAGAGUUUUAGAUAAACAUUGCCUUUAAAGAGUUUUAGAUAAAGCAUUGCCUGUUUUUAACCUUUGAGGUGUCCAGGGCUAGUCGAAUUGUUGAAGGACGACGGAGUAAUUCACAGGUUGGUUUUGGCCUCAACUCUUUCCUGCCCAAGGGAAUUUACGAGAAGGGAUGCUGGUGCACGACUGGUCACUAGAUGGCGCUCCAGAUCAAACCACCCUGGGCUGGACGGCUGCCUCUCCGGCGGCCUGCCUGGCACAGUCCUCAGUCAUUAACCUUGGGUUGACAUUGUACUGCCCAGAUUUCAAACCUCAUUCACACACAGUCUUGACAGACAGAAAUGAUUCUUACUUACAAGUGACGCUGACAGUAUUGAGAAUGGUCGAGUAGGGAGGCCAGCUGCCAGGACCUUUGGGGUCAGCCCUCCUCAUAAAGAGAUUCAUUGUCGUGGACCAGAGACCCGCGCUGUUUGAUCCUCUCUCUUCCCCCAACAGUUACUACGGAGAAGAAAUACAGAUGACUAGCUUCGCCCUGCCUACAGCUUAAAGAAGAAAACGCGUAGGAAGAGAAUGGACGGGGGUGCAGAGCGGGGAUCCAGGGAGGAAUGGGCCUAGAAACAAUCUCGGAGAAGCCACGUCAACUGUGUCUUACAUGUGAGCAGCAAAAUAAGCAUAAGAACCCCGAA